CACGAAGUUAGCCGGGGCUUCUUCUACGGGUACCGUCAUCAUCGUCCCGUCGAAAGUGCUUUACAAUCCGAAGACCUUCUUCACACACGCGGCAUUGCUGGAUCAGGCUUUCGCCCAUUGUCCAAUAUUCCCCACUGCUGCCUCCCGUAGGAGUCUGGGCCGUGUCUCAGUCCCAGUGUGGCUGAUCAUCCUCUCAAACCAGCUAUCGAUCAUCGCCUUGGUAGGCCUUUACCCCGACCAACUAGCUAAUCGAACGCAGGUUCCUCCACAGGCGACUUGCGCCUUUGACCCUCAGGUAUCAUGCGGUAUUAGCUCCAGUUUCCCGAAGUUGUCCCCCACCCGUGGAUAGAUCCCUACGCGUUACUCACCCGUCCGCCACUAAGGCCGAAACCUUCGUGCGACUUGCAUGUGUUAAGCAUGCCGCCAGUCGUUCGCUCGUCGAGCCGACGGAGUCAAACGUAC
rnacentral:rRNA from 1 species